rnacentral:rRNA from 1 species
AUUGAACGCUAGCGGCAUGCUUUACACAUGCAAGUCGAACGGCAGCGCGGGGCAACCUGGCGGCGAGUGGCGAACGGGUGAGUAAUACAUCGGAACGUGCCCUGUGAUGGGGGAUAACUACGCGAAAGCGUAGCUAAUACCGCAUACGACCCAAGGGUGAAAGUGGGGGAUCGCAAGACCUCACGUCAUAGGAGCGGCCGAUGGCGGAUUAGCUAGUUGGUGGGGUAAAGGCUUACCAAGGCGACGAUCCGUAGCUGGUCUGAGAGGACGACCAGCCACACUGGGACUGAGACACGGCCCAGACUCCUACGGGAGGCAGCAGUGGGGAAUCUUGGACAAUGGGCGCAAGCCUGAUCCAGCAAUGCCGCGUGUGGGAUGAAGGCCUUCGGGUUGUAAACUGCUUUUGUACGGAACGAAACGGUCUGCCCUAAUACGGCGGGCUAAUGACGGUACCGUAAGAAUAAGCACCGGCUAACUACGUGCCAGCAGCCGCGGUAAU